GCAGCUGUGGCCUACUGGUUAAGGCUUCGGGCUUGUAACCGAAGGGUUGCCGGUUUCGAUCCCCGACCCAGUAGGA
rnacentral:tRNA from 1 species